GCAAGUCUGGUGCCAGCAGCCGCGGUAAUUCCAGCUCCAAUAGCGUAUAUUAAAGUUGUUGCAGUUAAAAAGCUCGUAGUUGAACCUUGGGUCUGGAUGGCCGGUCCGCCUCACCGCGUGUACUGGUCCGGCCGGACCUUUCCUUCUGGGGAAUCGCAUGCCCUUCACUGGGUGUGUCGAGGAUCCAGGACUUUUACUUUGAAAAAAUUAGAGUGUUCAAAGCAGGCAUAAGCUCGAAUACAUUAGCAUGGAAUAAUAGAAUAGGACGUGUGGUUAUAUUUUGUUGGUUUCUAGGACCGCCGUAAUGAUUAAUAGGGAUAGUCGGGGGCAUCAGUAUUCAAUUGUCAGAGGUGAAAUUCUUGGAUAUAUUGAAGAAUAACUACUGCGAAAGCAUUGCCAA
rnacentral:rRNA from 1 species